AAUAGAUACCCCGGUAGUCCACGCCGUAAACGAUGAGUGCUAAGUGUUAGAGGGUUUCCGCCCUUUAGUGCUGCAGCUAACGCAUUAAGCACUCCGCCUGGGGAGUACGGUCGCAAGACUGAAACUCAAAGGAAUUGACGGGGGCCCGCACAAGCGGUGGAGCAUGUGGUUUAAUUCGAAGCAACGCGAAGAACCUUACCAGGUCUUGACAUCCCACUGACCGGUAUAGAGAUAUACCUUUCCCUUCGGGGACAGUGGUGACAGGUGGUGCAUGGUUGUCGUCAGCUCGUGUCGUGAGAUGUUGGGUUAAGUCCCGCAACGAGCGCAACCCUUGAUCUUAGUUGCCAGCAUUUAGUUGGGCACUCUAAGGUGGCUGCCGGUGACAAACCGGAGGAAGGUGGGGAUGACGUCAAAUCAUCAUGCCCCUUAUGACCUGGGCUACACACGUGCUACAAUGGAUGGUACAAAGGGCUGCAAGACUGCGAAGUCAAGCCAAUCCCAUAAAAACCAUUCUCAGUUCGGAUUGCAGG
rnacentral:rRNA from 1 species